rnacentral:piRNA from 1 species
CGGUUAUCAUGGUACCGGUGCUG